GAUGAACGCUGGCGGCGUGCCUAACACAUGCAAGUCGAGCGAUUCUCUUCGGAGAAGAGCGGCGGACGGGUGAGUAACGCGUGGGUAACCUGCCUUGUACACACGGAUAACAUACCGAAAGGUAUGCUAAUACGAGAUAAUAUGCCUUUAUCGCAUGGUAGAAGUAUCAAAGCUUUUGCGGUACAGGAUGGACCCGCGUCUGAUUAGCUAGUUGGUAAGGUAACGGCUUACCAAGGCGACGAUCAGUAGCCGACCUGAGAGGGUGAUCGGCCACAUUGGAACUGAGACACGGUCCAAACUCCUACGGGAGGCAGCAGUGGGGAAUAUUGCACAAUGGGCGAAAGCCUGAUGCAGCAACGCCGCGUGAGCGAUGAAGGCCUUCGGGUCGUAAAGCUCUGUCCUCAAGGAAGAUAAUGACGGUACUUGAGGAGGAAGCCCCGGCUAACUACGUGCCAGCCGCCGCAGUAACAC
rnacentral:rRNA from 1 species